UACAGAGGGUGCGAGCGUUGUCCGGAAUUACUGGGCGUAAAGCGUGCGCAGGCGGUGAUGUAAGACAGAGGUGAAAUCCCCGGGCUCAACCUGGGAACUGCCUUUGUGACUGCAUCGCUGGAGUGCGGCAGAGGGGGAUGGAAUUCCGCGUGUAGCAGUGAAAUGCGUAGAUAUGCGGAGGAACACCGAUGGCGAAGGCAAUCCCCUGGGCCUGCACUGACGCUCAUGCACGAAAGCGUGGGGAGCAAACAGG
rnacentral:rRNA from 1 species